AAUCACUUGUCCUUUAAAUGAAGACCUGUAUGAAUGGUUUAACGAGGGCUUGACUGUCUCCUUUCUCAAAUCAAUGAAAUUGAUCUCUCCGUGCAAAAGCGGAGAUGAAAUUAUAAGACGAGAAGACCCUGUGGAGCUUAAGAUAGUCUUAUAUAUUACGCCAAAACACCCCUAUUAAGAGGCGAAAAGCUAAUAAUCCCUGUAACCUAUCUUCAGUUGGGGCGACUAUGGGGCAUACUAAACCCCCACGAAGACUGAGAACAUCUUAAAGGUAACCUUAAUUUUCCCAAAACCUAGAAAUACCCUUCAAAAUAAUAGAAUUUCUAACUUUAUUUGAUCCAAUCCGUUGAUCAACGAACCAAGUUACCCCAGGGAUAACAGCGCAAUCCUCUUCCAGAGUCCCUAUCGGCAAGAGGGUUUACGACCUCGAUGUUGGAUCAGGACAUCCCAAUGGUGCAGCCGCUAUUGAGGGUUUGUUUGUUCAACAAUUAA
rnacentral:rRNA from 1 species